rnacentral:rRNA from 1 species
AAUCCGUUAAACGGGACCUUAGUAAGUGAUAGUCUUGUAUUUUCGUUGUUUUAGCUUAAUAAUACCUUUAACUUUUAAAGUUUUGGAAAAGCUCCUCCUUUGUUGCUACAAGACGUAAAGCAUGAUCCAUAGAGAAUUAGUACUGUGAAGGAACACAAAUAACCUUGUAAGGUUAAUCUUUUAUUAUAAAACGAAAACUAAACCUAAAGCAAGUCGCUGUUUUCUUUUUUGUCAAAACGUACCUUUGGUAUAAUGGUUCUGUGAGUUUU